GUUAGUUGCUAACGCGUGAAGGCGAGCACUCUAGACGAACUGCCGUUGACAAAACGGAGGAAGGUGGGGAUGACGUCAAAUCAUCAUGCCCCUUAUGUUCUGGGCUACACACGUGCUACAAUGGCCGGUACAGACGGACGCAAAGCCGCGAGGUGGAGCAAAUCCUAAAAAGCCGGUCUCAGUUCGGAUUGCAGGCUGCAAUUCGCCUGCAUGAAGUCGGAAUCGCUAGUAAUCGCAGGUCAGCAUACUGCGGUGAAUACGUUCCCGGGCCUU
rnacentral:rRNA from 1 species